GAUCCCUACGGGAGGCAGCAGUGAGGAAUAUUGGUCAAUGGCCGAGAGGCUGAACCAGCCAAGUCGCGUGAGGGAAGAAUGUCCUAUGGAUUGUAAACCUCUUUUGUCAGGGAGCAAAGUCACCCACGUGUGGGUGUUGGAGAGUACCUGAAGAAAAAGCAUCGGCUAACUACGUGCCAGCAGCCGCGGUAAUACGUAGGUGGCGAGCGUUAUCCGGAAUGAUUGGGCGUAAAGGGUGCGUAGGCGGCCUGCUAAGUCUGGAGUGAAAGGUACCGGCUCAACCGGUACAGGCUCUGGAAACUGGC
rnacentral:rRNA from 1 species